rnacentral:rRNA from 1 species
AGUGAACGCUGGCGGUAGGCCUAACACAUGCAAGUCGAACGGCAGCACAGUAAGAGCUUGCUCUUACGGGUGGCGAGUGGCGGACGGGUGAGGAAUACAUCGGAAUCUACUUUUUCGUGGGGGAUAACGUAGGGAAACUUACGCUAAUACCGCAUACGACCUACGGGUGAAAGCAGGGGAUCUUCGGACCUUGCGCGAUUGAAUGAGCCGAUGUCGGAUUAGCUAGUUGGCGGGGUAAAGGCCCACCAAGGCGACGAUCCGUAGCUGGUCUGAGAGGAUGAUCAGCCACACUGGAACUGAAACACGGUCCAGACUCCUACGGGGGGCAGGAGGGGGGAAUAUUGACAAAUGGGCGAAAGCCUGACCCAGCCAUACCGGGGGGGUGAAGAAGGCCUUCGGGUUGUAAAGCCCUUUUGUUGGGAAAAAAAAGCAGCAGGUUAAUACCCCGCUGUUCUGACGGUACCCAAAGAAUAAGCACCGGCUAACUUCGU